CAGUAUUCCCUAAUUAUACAAACUUGGCUUCAAUGCUGAGAAUGUGGUUCGAGUUGGCAUGCUCGUACUUAUUUACUUUGUAGUUGACCACCUGUGGUGAAGCGUGCAGUUUCACCCGGACUCUAUGCAGCCCCGUCUGCCUGUGGUAGAGCGUUCAGUUCUGCCCGGUCUCCAAUGUGGUCAUCUGCCUGUGACGGAGCGCGCAGUUUCGUCCAAUCAUAUUCAGCGACUUUGUUCGCCUGUGGUGGAGCGCGCAGUUUCACCCACACCCCCCCUGCGUGUGGGCGCGGGGGGGUUUGGUUCAUAGCAACAAACUUGGGCUAUGCCUGACUGUUGUGGUCUAAGCAUAGUCCCCCCUUUGACCGGGGUGUCUGCCUGUCUGAAGCCUCUGGGGUGCUCGCGACUAUUUGGUUGCUAGUCCACUUCGGGGGUGACGGGUUGUGCUGUCGAGUGAGGCAGUGCUAGGCUUAAAGAGUGGUGUCUAGGCUACGGCCAGCCCACCGCCCUGGAUGUUUUUGUUUCCAACAUUUUACACUGUUCAAGUGGUUCGAAUCGGCUUUGUCGUUUUGUUCCAUUGCCCCAACAUGCACCCGGUCUUGUACUGGACUGCAUGUGCAGUCGCCUGGAGGUGCCUUAUCCCGGGCUGGACUGAGAAACUUUAUCUCGGGUUUUCGGUCAUGCGCCGGAUUCUCGGGUUAC
rnacentral:rRNA from 1 species